rnacentral:rRNA from 1 species
UACCCUACGGGAGGCAGCAGUGGGGAAUAUUGGACAAUGGGGGGAACCCUGAUCCAGCGACGCCGCGUGAGUGAAGAAGUAUUUCGGUAUGUAAAGCUCUAUCAGCAGGGAAGAAAGAAAUGACGGUACCUGACUAAGAAGCCCCGGCUAACUACGUGCCAGCAGCCGCGGUAAUACGUAGGGAGCAAGCGUUGUCCGGAAUUACUGGGCGUAAAGGGCGCGUAGGUGGGCGCUUAAGUCAGGUGUGAAAACUCCGGGCUCAACCUGGAGACUGCACUUGAAACUGGGUGUCUUGAGGGCAGGAG